rnacentral:rRNA from 1 species
GAUGAACGCUGGCGGCGUGCUUAACACAUGCAAGUCGAACGGUGAAGCAGGAGCUUGCUCUUGUGGAUCAGUGGCGAACGGGUGAGUAACACGUGAGCAACCUGCCCCUGACUCUGGGAUAAGCGCUGGAAACGGCGCCUAAUACUGGAUAUGUGAUGUGACCGCAUGGUCUGCAUCUGGAAAGAAUUUCGGUUGGGGAUGGGCUCGCGGCCUAUCAGCUUGUUGGUGAGGUAAUGGCUCACCAAGGCGUCGACGGGUAGCCGGCCUGAGAGGGUGACCGGCCACACUGGGACUGAGACACGGCCCAGACUCCUACGGGAGGCAGCAGUGGGGAAUAUUGCACAAUGGGCGCAAGCCUGAUGCAGCGACGCCGCGUGAGGGAUGACGGCCUUCGGGUUGUAAACCUCUUUCAGCAUCGACGAAGCGAAAGUGACGGUAGGUGCAGAAGAAGGACCGGCCAACUACGUGCCAGCCGCCGCAGUAA